ACACAGAGCCGUAUCUCCCUGCAGCUCUCACCUGGUUUCCCCCUGAAGCUAAGCAGGGUUGAAUCUGGUCAGUACCUGGAUGGGAGACCUCCUGGGGAAAACUAAGGUCGUGGA
rnacentral:rRNA from 1 species